UCAAAAGCUUGGGAGUAUGGAGCCAGUCUCAGAAACACUUCAACCCAGCCCUGACCAGCGCAAAGCAUAACUUGAUUCAGUGACCACAUUAAGAUGGAACUGAAGGAAUGAAAAGGGACAAAGUCAAUGACAAUGAAGAAAAUCAGAAAAGACCAUCGACGACGAAUGAGAGACUUCCACAAAUUUAUGCAAGAGGAAAGGUGGGGAGAGACUUUCAUUUCUGGGAGUGCAGUAGAUUGAAUAUUCUGCAAGGUCCUGCUGCUAAAAACUGAAUCCUACAUAAAUUACAACCAACAUGACUUUAAAUGCCUUGCUGGGAUCAGAAGAAAGUGAGGGAAAUCUCCAAAAGCCAGAAGUCAAAAAAAAAAAGAAGGAAUGAAGGAGGAAAAGGAGGGAGAAAAGACAAAGAAAAAGAAAAAGUGAGCCAAACACAGAGGAGUAAGCAGUGAUCAGUAUGAAGAAAUUUCACCCUUCAUGUGGUAUAUGGUUCUAAAACCACCAAGAGAUGGAAUUGUGCAUAAUAAAAAGAACAGGACAUACAAGAAAGCUGGGAUUGGAGAAAACACUCCAAACCUGUAUAGUCUCAUAAAAAAUUUACUGAACUGUAAUAACAAAAGUAAAUAAACACAUACACAAAUGCUACUGCCAUUUUUUGUUUUCUAUAAAUAAAUAAUAUUGUAAUCAUAGACAAAACAUUUAAACGUGCUUGCUGUGGUCAAAUGCUGUGGAGAAGAGGUAGUAAGAAGGGACAACGUCAUUCUCAGGCUGAGAUGUGGUGACCCCCGAGGUGGAAGGUUGUGGCUCAUUGUCUGCAUUUCUUUCUUUUACUCUGGCUUGAAAUAGAACCCUACCUUUGUUGUCUUCCAGUUUCUUCCUUUCAUAAAGAAGCUGUAUGUGCAACUCCAAAGGCAUCCAGACACCAAGUGCCAUCCUGCUGCUCUGAGCACUGGAGUCUGCAGCUCCAAUCCUUGGCAAACCCUUCCCAGUCCCAAUUAGCACAGAUGAUAACUGGGACGUGAUCAUCUC
rnacentral:lncRNA from 10 species